rnacentral:rRNA from 1 species
GAGUUUGAUCUUGGCUCAGAACGAACGCUGGCGGCAGGCUUAACACAUGCAAGUCGAACGCCCCGCAAGGGGAGUGGCGCAAGGGUGAGAAACGCGUGGGAAUUUGCCUUUUGGUUCGGAAUAACCACAGGAAACUGUGGCUAAUACCGGAUGGUCCCUUCGGGGUAAAGAUUUAUCGCCAAAAGAUGAGCCCGCGUCAGAUUAGCUAGUUGGUGGGGUAACGGCCCACCAAGGCAACGAUCUGUAGCUGGUCUUAGAGGACGAUCAGCCACACUGGAACUGAGACACGGUCCAGACUCCUACGGGAGGCAGCAGUGGGGAAUAUUGGACAAUGGGGGCAACCCUGAUCCAGCCAUGCCGCGUGAGUGAUGAAGGCCUUCGGGUUGUAAG